rnacentral:rRNA from 1 species
AUUGAACGCUGGCGGCAUGCCUUACACAUGCAAGUCGAACGGUAACGGGCCUUCGGGUGCCGACGAGUGGCGAACGGGUGAGUAAUACAUCGGAACGUGCCCGAUCGUGGGGGAUAACGAGGCGAAAGCUUUGCUGAUACCGCAUACGAUCUACGGAUGAAAGCAGGGGACCGCAAGGCCUUGCGCGGACGGAGCGGCCGAUGGCAGAUUAGGUAGUUGGUGGGAUAAAAGCUUACCAAGCCGACGAUCUGUAGCUGGUCUGAGAGGAUGAUCAGCCACACUGGGACUGAGACACGGCCCAGACUCCUACGGGAGGCAGCAGUGGGGAAUUUUGGACAAUGGGCGCAAGCCUGAUCCAGCCAUGCCGCGUGCAGGAUGAAGGCCUUCGGGUUGUAAACUGCUUUUGUACGGAACGAAAAGCCUUCUUUUAAUACAGGAGGGUCAUGACGGUACCGUAAGAAUAAGCACCGGCUAACUACGUG